AUGUGCAGCAGCAAAGGCCAAGACCAAAUCUUGACCACACACCCAGGGAGACACCGCCGCUGCUGGAGACUGGCCGCCGCCGCCGCCGACACACUCCACCUACACAACAGCGAAGCCCACAACCCAUUUUUUUUCCAAAACAGUGCCUUCAAGAAGGUUAUGGCGCCAUGGGCGUCGCCGCUGCCCAACAAUGAAGGUGAACGGCGUCCGCAGGCGCAGCCGGCAUGGCUGGCUACCGGUUUCCCCCUGUCCUGCAUCCCCGUCACCCACUCCCACCCAAAGAAGACCGGAGCCCCAUGUCGAAGCAGGCCGGAUCUGAGGAGGGGGGAGCUCGCUGGAAAAGAAGGGCAGUGGAGGUGGCUAGAUCUGGCGCUGCUAGAGCCGAAACCGCUGCCACGCGCAGGCCUGCAUCCACCAGGGAUCUCGUCGCCCGCACGUCCGAGAAACCCUGACCCGUGCCCACGCCGGCGGGUGCCGAAGAGCCAGCGUCGCCACACCUUCUUGGGUCGCCGCCCCGGAUCCAGAGGCCCCCCGCGGGCGAGGCGAGGCGGCGAGGGCCCCGGUUCCUCCCUGGCCGCCUCACCCCCGUCGACGGCGCCGUGCGCCGCCACCACGCGCGGUCGCCUCUCGCCUCCUCCGACGCUCCAGCCCCAUAAGUCCCCCUCGAUCUCCUCCUCCCUGCGCGCGCCACCACUAGCUAGGCUCCAAUCGAUUCGCCGCGGCGGCUCGCCAUGUUUUGGGAUUUCGCGUGGGGGAAAGGGAUUUAGGUUGAAGAGAGUGUAUGUAUGUGCUGAUGCUCAAAUUGCCAAGUUGUUAUGCAAGGCGCCAAGCUUGCGCGGCAGCAGCUGCCUCAGGCGGCGGCGAGGGGAGGUCGAGGAGGGGAGGGAGACGGAAGGGCUAGGGAUUUCGCCCCUCGGGUCGCCCAAGCAGGGCGACACGAGGGCAAAGUCUAGACGAUCAGACCUGAGUAGCAUUGUUUUGAACAGCAGUAUCACUUAUCGAAGGUGCAUGAUGUCAUUGCUUGCCUCUGGGUCAGGCAGUCUGUUUAGUGGUUGCAUGGCUCGCAUCGGGGCUUACAAAAUACCUUACAUUACAAGAGACCUCCUCAACAAUGGCGCUAGGGCACAAGAGACCCAGGGCAGCCACGGUUUCUUGCAGCAUGGAUGGAAGCCCUGCCCUCCACUCCUCUCCCCUGCGUCGACCCCAUCCUCCUCUCCCCCGCAACGCCGGCGGCCGCCGGCCUCCGCCCUCACCCCCACAGCCGCCACAACCGGCGACUUUGCCUCUCACCGCCGCCCCCUCUCAUCCCCUCCUCUCGUGGCAGAUCGAGCGACAACCGCGGUGUGGGCGGGCGGCACUAACGCGCUGCUCUCGGCCGAGGAGCCGCUCCCGCCGGGCCAACCGCACCCGUCCGUCGCCUGCUCGCCUCCCGCGGCGUCUUCUCCGAGCACACAAACGACGGAGGUCGGAGGCGGUACGCGCUUGUGCUGGCGUGGCCGUGGCUCCACAAGGACGUGCUCGACCCCGCCGGCGCCUAGCCCUUUUUGCGCGCACGCCGGCGUCCCCGCCUACGCCUACUACGGCCAGGACCGGGAGGCGAACGAGGUGAUGCUCGACCUUGAACAUCUGCUCGAGGACAUCCUACUCGACGAUGCUCCUCUUCGCCAGCAUCUCCAACGCGUGGUGAGCUUCCGCUGUCUCAUCCCUUUACUCCUGGUUGCAGGAUUUGGUUCAGAUUUGGAGUACUGCUUGGGUACAGAUUAG
rnacentral:rRNA from 1 species